rnacentral:lncRNA from 1 species
UGGGAGGUCUCAUGUAACCAACAUACCCUAAUUUGAGCUAAUCGGGGUCCAACCUGUAACCCCGAUUAGAAGGGUGUCAAUACCGUGCCAUAAGUGCUAACACUGGCAGAAAAUUUAGAACCACAAGGUUGAUAUACCAAAGGACCAGGGUGUCAAACCUAAGCUGAUGGGUGAUCCUUGAGAGGAAGUCAAGCCUAAACUGAUGGGCAGCCCCC